GGCCGAGUGGCCUAGUGGUAAGGCGUCGCUUUCCGGCGGCGAAGAUCGGGUGUUCGAAUCGCUCCUCGGUCG
rnacentral:tRNA from 1 species